rnacentral:lncRNA from 1 species
GAUUUAGAAGCAGUGGCGUCCCUCUUGCGGCAACAUUUAGCAGCAUGUGGUUGGGCCGUCAACGAAUCCAAGGUCCAAGGUCCUGGAUUAUCUGCCAGAUUCUUGGGAGUUAUCUGGUCAGGCUCCAGUUAGUAGUUGCUGCCUAGGAGAUGAAGUGAAUUUCACAAGAAAGACAUAAGAAGCCAACAACUGGACAAGCUGUGAAAUGCCUAGAUUCCAGAGCAACAGACUGUGAUCCAUUCCCAACAACCCCUCCCUACCGUCUGCCACCAGUUCCCUUAAAGCAGGAAUCAGAGCUAGACUGACUCAACUAAGAAUUGUUUUGGAGAACUUGGAACUCAACAUUCCAUAAAGCAAGAAGCUUGACAUAGCAUCGAUGAGCCCAAGUCAACUAUAUGAACAAAACAAUGUCUCAGGAGGGGCAGGGUAUCACGUCAGAAGAAUCCUGAGUCCUUAGAUGACCUUGUAGAAAAGAGCCACAAACUUACUCUGGGCUACCUUCAUACCUCUG